rnacentral:lncRNA from 1 species
UCAGCACAUCAGCCUGUUAAAUAUCAAAGAGCAGAGGAGGUCUUUUGUCUCAGCAUUGAGCCAGACACUGAAAAUGCAUCUAAUUUUAGCAUUUCCAGAGGAGAAUAAAAAGAUGUGAAACACAAUAAUCAGGAAAAAUGUCACGCACAGUCUAAGUACACGUUCGUCAGAGGAAAAAUGCCGGGAGGGCAGCAGGCGGCAUAUGUAAGAGGUGUGUCCGGAAGCUACAGUUCAUAUCCAAGGUAAUUCUUUAAAAUAAUUUAACAUUAAAAAAGCCAAGACUUCCAUCCACAAAAGAAAAGGUCCUAGGGAGUAAUACAGAGUACUGAGUAGGUGGAAAGGUCUUUUUCUAGAAAUGGUUUCCUGUGGUCUACUUUAGCACUUAAGGGCAUCAUCAAUGCAAUGAAGGGAAGGAUUGAAGGAUUAAAAGAGAAGCUUUCUUUUUGGGGUGAGCUUUUAGUUUCUUCAGGUUCUUUCAUUUUCAGAGUGUAUAACCAGAUGGAUAUAGGUGGAGGGGAGGAAGAAAUAGGCAAGAUGGGAACCCCUUCAAGAUAACCUGACCAUCCUAAUAUAUUUGAAAUAUUUUAUUAUAUUAUGAAAGUGAACUGCACUUUCUUAAUAAACAAAGCAUAAAGACAAAGAAGCUUGAAGUCCGAUCAGCUGUUUAAAAUUUUUUUAAUCUAGUUCAGUAUCCCACAAAUUUAGAUUGGUGUUUGGCACCCAGUAGAUCUCGAUAAAUAUUUAUUGAAUAGGGGCUGGCAGUGUAGCUCAGCAGUAGAAUGUUUGCCUAGCAAUCACAAGGCUCUGGGUUUGAUCCCCAGCACUGCAAAAAUAAAUUGUUGAGACUGAGCCAUGGUGGCACACUUCUAUAAUCCCAGCAACUCAGGAGGCUGAGACAGGAGGAUCACCAGUUUAAGGCCAGUCUCAGCAACUUAGCCAGACCUUAAACAACUUAGUGAGAUCCUCUCUCAAUAUCUAUAUUUUUUUACUAUGUAAAAAGGGACUGGGGAUGUAGUCCAGUGAUAAAGCCCUACUAGAUUCAAUCCCCAGUAUAUAUAAAAAGGGUUGAAUAAAUGGUUUCAUGUCAAGAUGGUAAAGUGAGCAUAUGCAUAAUUCUCCUGACAUUAUUUCAAACACAGCAAAGAUCUAUAAGGUUGUUUAAAAUACACUUGAAAGUACAUAACCAUCAGCCAGGUAUGGUAGCAUAUGCCUAUAAUCCCAGCAACUUGGCAGGCUGAGGCAAGAUGAUCACAAUGACUUAGGGAAAACCUGUUUCAAAACUAAAAUAACAAAUUAAUUUAAAAAGGACUGGGGAUGUGGCACAGUGGUAAAGUGCCCCUAGGUUCAAUCCCCAGUACUCCCCCCCCAAAUAAGUACAUAACUAUCAAAUAUGAUAGGAAAAUCAUGACAGACCAAAGCAAACAGAAACUAUAGCAGUUAAGUCAGAAGCAGUUGGGUAUAGGACUUCAAAUCCAUGGAAAACUGUGGCCAAACUUUCCCAGAAUGUGGUAGGAGACUGGAGCCAGGAUCUGUGUGAAACCAGGCCUUCCUGCCUAUCCUGCCUACCCACCAGAAUUGGGCUAGAAUCACCUGCUUACCUGAGGCAGAAAACUCUAGCUAAUAUGAGACCUAUACCUGCAUUUGUGUCAUGUGAGUGUAGGUAUUAGACUUGCUAAACUUUGCAGGAAAAUCCCUGGUAUGAACUUUUGAUAAUUUGAGGGGCCAGGACUGAGGGAACUGAAAAACUAGCACCAUAAACAUAAAGAAGAAAAUCCCCACAGAAAAUCAGUUCUCAGCAAAACUAUACCAUUCCUGGGGAAGAUGGGUACUAUGAAAAGUGGCCAACACAUCCAAUAUCUGAGGAAAUGAAGAUAAUAGAAUGACCUAAAUACAUUCAAGGAAGCAUGCUUAAAAUCUCCAAAUUUGAAAUUAUGAUCUCAAUUUAGUUUUAAUUUAAAUCUCGUGCUUGUAAAAUGCAGAAUACUAUCUGUAGUACACUACCUUUGUGUAAGAAAGAAGGGGAAAUAUAUAUGUACGUAUCUGCUAAUAUCUGCAAAAUACAUCUUGCAGGAAAGAUAAAUCAGAAAUUAAGGAAAUUGAUGAUCUAAAGGGAGCGGGUAUGAAUGGGAUACUAGGGAGGGCAAUGAUUCUCUGAGAAUAUUUUGUAUGCUUUGUCUUUUAAUUACAUUAGUAUUUUAAAUAUUCAAUAAAUAAAAUUGAAUUCAUAUGAGAAAAAUUCAAUUCCAUAUAAACAAAGAAAUUAAACUGCACAUCACACUGAAAAUGUAACUAUGUGACAGAAUAAGGAUGAUUAGAUUAACAACUUUUGACACAAUAAUUUGUGCAAUCUCAGUGGGAUGUAUCAUAUAGAUAAAAAUAAGUUGAGCACAGUGGCACAUACCUGUAGUCCUAGUUACGUAGGAGGCCAAGGCAAGAAGAAUACUUGAGCAAAGAGUUUGAAGCCUGCCAGGGCAACAUAAUGAGAUUCCUGUCUCUGAAAAAGCAAACACAAAAUAUGGCAAAGAAACCUCGAACAUUUCUUAGUGGUUUAUUAUUGGUAACACUAUUUAUGUAGCAAUACUGAAGUUAUUUUGUGUGCAUCAUUGGAUUGAGAAAAUGAAUAAAUACAGUGAAAAUUCAUAAAUAGAUCAGGAGUCAGGAUUCUCACUGUGGGAAGAAGGAAAUACAAAUUAUUUUGUCAAAGAAGGAAUAGAAGUACCAUGUGGCAUUGGAUUGGAAAUUAUUUUAAAAUGUGUAUCUGUCUACUAAAAGAGCAUAGAAGCAAUGGUGUUCUAGUAAUAUUAGCACACAGUACCUAGAAUCAUAUUCUAAAUACCAUAUGGCUCAGGUUGGGUUCUCUGAAACAUGCUGUGAUGGAGUUUAAAACACAAAAUAUUCUCAGCCAUGGACCAUGAUGGCACAUUCCUGUAAUUCCAGCAAUUUGAGAGACUGGGUCAGGAGGAUUGCAAGUUCAAGAUGAACCACAGCAACUUAGAAAAAACCUAUCUCAAAAUAAUAAUAAUAAUAAAAUAAAAGGGCUGCGACAUAAGUCAGCGGUAUAGCACUCCUGGGUUUGAUCCUCAGUAUCAAAAGAAAAAAGUACAAGAUGUUUACCAGAAAUCAACAAGUAUAUAAGGAUGGAGGAAGGAAGUAGGAUUGAGAAAAGAAAGAAAUUAACUGCAUUGUAAGCCUCAGCCAGGUGUGGAGCAAGGAGCUGUGAAGCUAAUAUUUUUCCCCAACAUAGUGCCCCAUAUCAGGUUGAAAAGCCAGGACUUUAUACCCAUGUUUAACUCCAUGGAUGUGGGUGGCUCUGGAAAAGGCACUUAAAGGGGUUUUGCAAAUAAAAUAGACCUGAAGGAGCUGGUAACUUCAGGCUGCCCAAUGACCAUACUUUCCACAGCUAGGCAGCGACUCUGUUCUUGAUGAUUGACCUGGAUGGCACCUCUUCAUGUCUACCAUGUUGUUCCACAAUAAAAGGAACUAGAUUUCCUCAGACAAGUGGCUGAUUCUAUGUCCAGGGCAAGGAAAGAAGAAAGUGAGCCUGGAAUAUUUUAUAAUGUGAGAAAACAAGAAAAUGGUCAAAAAUUAAUGGAUUCAUUUAAAAAUUGGGAUCCUAUUAUAAGGAAUCCCAGACAAAUUUGGGACAAUUUGAGCAGUGAAAUAAAUAAGGACAGCAAUGGAUUAUACCACAUUGAACAAUAAGAAAGAAAAUCCAUAAUGAUAUUAAAAAUGAAAGCUCAAAAAAGAAAGAAAACAUGGCUCUUUUUUUGUAGGAAAUUCCAACUAAUAAAUGUAGAAAAAAAUGGCAGAUAUAGAAAAUCAUCAUUUUUAAAAAUAUAUUUUUAUUUGUAGUUGGACACAUUAGCUUAUUAUGUUUUUUAAUGUGGUGCUGAGGAUCGAACCCAGUGUCUCACACGUGCUAGGCAAGUGCUCUACCACUGAAACUCAACCCCAACCCAAAUCAUCAUUUUUAUAACUGCUAUGGUAAUAACUUAUUCAAGCAAAAACUAUCAAUAAGUGCUAAAGCAAUCAGAUGAAAAUAUGUUCAGAAAUAGAGUAUUCAUCAAAAGGAGAAUGUAAUAACUGGUGUGGUGACACACGCUUGUAAUCCCAGUGGCUGGAGAGGCUGAGGCAGGAGGAUUUCGAACUCAAAGCCAGUCUCAGCAAAAGUGAGGCACUAAGCAAUUCAAUGAGACCCUGUCUUUAAAUAAAAUACAAAAUAGGGCUGGGGAUGUGGCUCAGUGGUUGAGUGCUCCUGAGUUCAAUUCCCGCUACAAAAAAAAAAAGAAAGAAAGAAAGAUAGGAAAAAAAGGACAUAAUAGAUUGUCAGAAAGUAAUUAGAGUGAAAAUUUCCUGAUUUUCUUGGUUACUUAUUCCAGAGACUAAAAUUAGACUUUCAUCUCCUAAAACACAUGGCUUUACUUAAUCUCUUAAGGCCAUUAACCUAAAGUUCUAUAGAUGUGGAUAUAAUCUAAGAAAAAUGUGUGCCGUUUUUCAUUUUCCAGAAGAAUAAGUAAGUUUUUGUUUAUUUUUUAAAGGCAACAUGGAAAAUUUAAAAAUAAUAAUGAAAAAGAAAUAAGAUAUUCACACAGUCCCCAAAUAUCACUUCCUAGAUUACUUAUUAUAAGGUGGGAAAGGAACCCUUAUAAAGUAGAAGUCUGGUGGAAAUCACAUAUCAAUAAAAUUAAAAUUGAUAUAUAAUAAAAGACACCUAAGCAUCUCAAUGCACACAGAAAAUACAUUUGAGAAAAGCUAACAUCCCUUCAUGAUAAAAAUACUCGUCAAACUCUCUGUAGAGAUGACUUUCCUUUAAGGAAAAAAAAAAUUAAAAACACAGCUAACAUUAUACAUCAUGGAGAAAACCUGAAAGCUUUCUCUUUAAGAUAAGUUAUUUUCAUCACUUCUUUUUUAUUGAGAGAGAGAGAGAGAGAGAGAGAGAGAGAGAGAGAGAGAGAGAGAAAAUUUUAAUAUUUAUUUUUUAGUUUUUGGUGGACACAACAUCUGUAUUUUAUUUUUAUGUGGUCCUGAGGAUUGAACCCAGCGCCCCAUGCAUGCCAGGUGAGUGCGCUACGUCUUGAGCCACAACCGCAGCCCCCAUCACUUCUUUUUUUAAUCAUUUAUUUACUUUUUAAGGAAUAGUUGGACACAAUACCUUUCUUUUAUUUAUUUAUCUUUAUGUGCUGAGGAUCGAACUCAGUGCCCCGCACAUGCUAGACAAGCAUUCCACCACUGAGCCACAACCCGAGCCCUUAGUUUCAUCACUUCUACUCAACGUUUGUACUAUAGGUUCUAGUUGAUGUAAUCAGUCAAGAAAAAAAUAGGAGGCAUCAAGUUGGAAUGAAAGAAAUGAAACUAUCUCUGUCUUCAUAUGACACAAUCUUGUAUACAGACGUUCUUACUGAGUACACACACAACAAAACCUAUUAGAACUAAUAAAAGAGUUUAGCAGGUUUCAUGGAAUAAUAUCAAUAUGUGAAGACUGAUUGUAAUUCUAUACUUUACAAAUGAACAAUCCAAAAAUAAAAUUAAGAAAACAAUUCAAUUUAUAAUAGCAUCAAAAAAAUAAAACACUUUGGAAUAAAUUUUGAAAAAGUGUGAAAUUAAUAGUCUUAAAAUAGUAUAAUUCAAAGAAAUUAAAGAAGACCUAAAUAGAAGACAUCCUAUGUUCAUAAAUUAGAAGACAAUAUAGUGAAUAUGGUAAUACUUCCCAAAUUGAUCUAUAUAUUCAAAACAAACCCUAUCAAAAUCCCAACUGUCUUUUUUUUCAGAAAUUGAUAAGCUCAUCCUCAAAUACAUACGUGCGGCAGUCUGGCUGGGCACAAUCAGGAGCCACUUGUCAAAAGAAACUAACUUUAUUUUUAGAACCACACACGCCAAACAAAACAGCCUCUCAGGAAAAACCCUCAGAGCCUCAACUGCCACCACCAGCUUUCCACAAGCCUCUCUCUCCCACACAAGCUUCUCUCCACCUCCCACAAUCCUCCUGCUCUUGAGGCCGAUUGGCUGGGUCACGUGGGCGGAGCCAAAAAAGUCCCCCAAUGAGCAGCUCCGUGGUCUGAAAGGGCAGGGAAACAGCCCAAUGAGCAUCACCGCAGAGGAGCCAAUCAGCUAGAUGUUGCUGGGGCCGAGGAGCCAAUCAUCAGCCGGCAGCUGGAAGUUUGCUGGCAGCUGGAAGUUUGCUGGGGCCCCUUCGGCUGUGGCUCUCAACACAUACGGGCACUCAAGGGACCCCAAAUAAUGAAAGCAGUCUUAAAAAUGAAGAACAAAGUUGGGGGACUCACAUUUCCCAAUUUCAAAACUUAAUAUAAUGCUGCAUUAAUCAAGAGAGUGUGUUGUAGGCAUAGGGAUACACAUAGAUCUGUGGAAUUAAAAUAGAGACUCUAGAUAUUAACCCUUACAUGUAUGGCAAAUUUAUUUUCAAUAGGGUGCCAACACAAUUCAAUAAGGGAACGAAUAGAAUAGUCUUUUCAACAAGUUGUGCUAGAAUAACUGGCCACCCACAUAAGUGAUAAUGAAAUUGGAAGCCUUUCUCUCAGCAUGCACAUAAAUUAACUCAAAGUUUAUCGAAGACAUAAGUGUAAGUCUUGAAACUACAAAACUCUUAAAAUAUAAUAGGAGUGAAUCCUGAUGACCUUGACUUACGCAAGGCAUUCUUAGCUAGGUCAUCAAAAAUACAAACAAAAGGAAAAAGAGUUAAAUUUUGAUGAAGUCUUGUUAAAAUUAAAACUUUCUGCUUUAUUAGGGACUGAAUGGUGCCUCCCCCUCCCUAAUAUCCUAACUUGCAAUGUGACCAUAAUGUGGAGAUAGGGCCUUUAGGGAGGCAAUUAAGGUUAAAUGAAAUCAUAAAGGUGGGGCCCUAAUCCAACAGGACUAGCAUCCUUAUAAGAAGAAAACAAGACACCAGAGAGUGAUUCAUGUGCAUUUCCACUCCCCCCCUCCACAAAGAAGAAAAGACAUGAAGACAUGGUAAGAAUGUGGCUGUCUACAUACUAAGAAAAGAGGCCGCAAAAGAAAUUUAUCCCUGAUGGCACCUUGAUCCUGAAUGUCUAACCUCCACCACUGUGAGACAAUACAUUUUUGUAGUGUAAUCCACUCAAUCUGGGGUAUUCUGUUACAUCAGCCACAGCUGACUAAUACAGGCUUUAAAGGAAAAGAUAACCAUACAAUUGUGAGAAAACAUUUCAAAAUAAAAUACGCAAGAGGACAUUUGAAUUUGGAAUAUAUGAAGAAUUCUUACAACUCAAUGAUAUAAAGAGAAAUAACUCAGUUAAAAAUGGUUAAAGGACUUAAGUAGACAUGUCUGUAAGAUAUACGAGUGGUCAAGAAGCAUACAAAAAUGUUCAAUACCAUUAGUCAUUGGGGAAACCCAAAUCAAAAUCACAAUGAAAUAUUACUUCAUACAUGUUAGCAUGGCUAAAAUAAAAAAAAAAUCAUAGACAAUAACAAGUUUUGGAGAGGAUGUAGUGAAAUUGAAACUGUUGAGAGUGUAAAAUGUGCACUCAUUUUAUGUAAGUUUUGCAGUUCCCCCAAAGUUUAGCUUUACCACUUGAUCUGGAAAUUCCACUACUAGGUAUAUAGAUGUUAGAGAAAUGGAAACCUAUGCCCAUUAAAAAAUUCUUACACAAAUAUUCAUAGUAGCAUUAUUCGUAGCAGUCCAAAGUGGAAACAACCCAAAUGUCAUUCAAUUGAUUAAUGGAUAAGCAAAAUAUCCACAUAAUGGUAUAUUAUUCAGCAAUAAAAGGAUGAAUCUUGAAAACAUGUUGCUAAAGGAAAGAAGACAAAUACAAAAAGGCACAUAUUAUCUGAUUUAUGUGGAAUACCCAAAAUAGGCACAUACACGAAGAUAGAGAAUAGAUUUGUGGUUGCAAGGAGCUUGGGAGAGGGGGCAAUUGGGAAAGAUUGGGAGAAUGAAUAUUAAGGAGAUUUCUUUUGGGGUGAUGAAAAUAUCCUAGAAUUAGAUUGCAGAACUGAUUGCACAACUUUGUGAAUAUACUAAAACCCAAUGAAUUGUGCACAUGAAAUGGGUAAAUAUUAUGGAACUUGAACUUUAUCUCAAAAACAAACAUAGUGAAAUAAAAAUGUCAAGGGAUAGAAACACUGAGUCAAGGUGGGGUAGAAAGUUUCCUCGUUUGGGAGAAGGAUGGAAAUGUUAAAUACAUUUGGACUAAACAAUAGAAAUAGAAUGCACAGUCUGCCCUCUGUGUCUGCAUGUUCCACAUCAGAGGAGUCAUGUAAUGUAGAUAAAAAAUAUUGGGGGGGGGAAUUACAUCUGUAUGGAGUGUGUAUGGAGAUUUUUUUCUUGCUCUUUUUCCCUAAACAAUACACUAUAUCAACUAUUUACAUGGAAUUUACAUUGUACUAAGUAUCAUAAGUUAUCUAGAGUUCAUUUCAAAUAAAAGGGAGAGGGCUGGGGUUGUGGCUCAGUGGUAGAAUGCUUGCCUAGCAUGUGUGAGGCACUGGGUGUUUUUUUUUUCCCCAGCACCAUAUAAAAAAACCUAAAUAAACAAAAUAAAGGUAUAGUGUCUAUCUACAACUAAAAUAUUCUUAAAAAUAAAUAAAAUAUAAAGGAGGAUGUGUUGUAGAUUACACGUGAAAGCAACACCAUUUUAUAAAGAUGACUUGAGCAUUCUUGGAUUUUGGUAUCUGAGAUGAUACCUAGAACCAGUAAUUUCCAUUUGGACACCAAGAGAGAACUGUGUUCUAAAAUGACCGGAGAUGAGAAGGUAAGAAGGAAUAAAGAAUAAAGCUAUAAUAUUGAGUCAAAUAGACAAAUAAAAGUUAAGUUGUAGAAUGAUAUAGACUAACAAUAACACAAAUGUACAUUAAACAUAAUGUUGUAAAGCAAACUAACUCAGAAUAGUGGUUGACUCAGGAGAGAGAUAAGGGUCUAAGAUUAGAGAUAGUAGCCAUUCAUUCCACUCUUUCCUUUUCCCAUUGCCCCACCCUUCCCAUCAUUCCCCCUUGUUCAUUCCACUGAACUUCUUUUUUUAAUUUUUAAACUCUCCUCCCUUUAUUGUGGAUUAGCUUCCACAUAUCAGAGAAAACAUUUGACCUUUGGUAUUUUGGGGAUUGGCUUAUUUCACUUGGCAUGAUAGUCUUCAGCUCCAUUCAUUUACCCAUAAAUGUCAUGAUUUCAUUCUUCUUGAAGGCUGAGUAAUAUUCCAUUGUGUAUAUGUACAUUUUCUUUAUUCAUUCAUCUGUUGAAGGGCAUCUAAGUUGGUUCCAUAGUUUAGCUAUUAUAAAUUGAGCUGCUAUAAACAUUUAUGUGGCUGUAUCACUGUAGUAUGUUGAUUUUAAGUCUUUUUGAUGUAAACUGAGAAGUGGGAUAACUGGGUCAAAUGGUGGUUCCAUUCCAAGUUUUCUUAGGAAUCUCCAUACUGCUUUCCAGAGUGUAUGCACAAAUUUGCAGUCCCACAUUCUCACCAACAUUUAUCAUUGCUCAUAUUCCUGAUAAUUGCUAUUCUGACUGAAAUGAGGUAAAAUCUCAGUGGAGUUUUAAUUUAUAUUUCUCUAAUUGCUAGAGAUAUUGAACAUCUUUUCAUGUUUUUGAUGACCAAUCUGACCUAACUUUUCUAUGUACGUAUGUGAAUAUAUCACAGUGAAUCUCACCAUUGUGUAUAUCCAUAAGAAAUUAAUUUAAAAAAUCAACUAUGGGUAAAUGGUAGAAAGAUCAAUAGAGGGAAAGGACCAUGGGGUAGGGAAAGGGAAGGGGAAGGAGAGGGACUGGGGAUUGAAGUAGAACAAGGCAUAUUAUCUGCCUUUAUAAUUAUGUCAAAGAGGAAUUUUGCUGUCAUGUAUAACUAAGAAGAACCAAUUAAAAAAAGAUAGUAGCCAUUAUUAAGUACUUACGGUAGUGUUUCAUUCUUUCAUUUCUCAAAAGAGAGACUGAAAGAAAGUAUAAACUGUUUAACAGUUGUUAAUUCUGGGAGGGGGGAGUAUGAGUGGUCAUUAUAUUAUUCUUUGUAUUUUUCUUUCUAAAAAAUGUCUGAAAGUUAAAAAAAAUACACGACAAAAUGUCCUGAUUAAAUUUUCAGCCCCCUUUUAUUGAUUUCAUGUACAAUUUGGGCCAUGUCAACCUUUUUUCAAACAUCCCUUUCAGGCUGUACAAAAAGAAAAAAAGAUAAUCAAUCAUACUUUUAUAAAAAUAGGAAUGUCAAGAUGGAAAGGUGCAGAAGGAAUAUAACAUUUUCUGAACACCUACUAUAUGUCUGAUGUUCUACUAGGUGCAUUGCAUGUGAUAUAUAAUUUAAUUCCAUCUUCCCAAUAAUCUUGUGAUUUACUUAAUGCUAGCCCUUAACUGCAGAUGUCAAAACUGGGAAAAGGUAAAUUGAGUCACAUUAGAGUACACAUAUCUUUGGGGAUACAUGAAGAAGUGCCAAGACUCUGUGGACACAUUCAGUUGUCAAGAAAUCAAUUACUAGACACUCAACUUUAAAAAAUUGAUCUGUCUGGGAACACUCUCUCAGGCAGGUGGAUUCUCCUUGCCUUCAUCCUCUUUCUCAAAAACCUUCCUCACAUUUUACAAAAGAAAGCCAAUCCUCCCAAGCAUCUCUCCACUGCUAAUCUGACUUUGAUGUGUUGCCCCAGGGGUAAGAAACCUCCUCUUAACAAACAAAGCCAAAAGCCAAAAUAAGGGUGUUGGUGUGGAAAAAUAAAUGACCCCAAUCACUGCAUAACAAGACCUUUUGCAACACAGGUGGAUUCCAAUUCUUUGCCUUCAACAAAAUUGCUGAAGGAUCUAAUGGCAUUGUCAGCUAAUAAAUCAUUAAAAUUAUUUUUUGAUGAUAGAGUACAUUGGGAUUUUGGGUAUAUAACUCAAGAAGAAACACAAAGGUUUGUGUGACAAUGUUAUGAGAAAAAAACUCUUCACUUCCUUCUACUUAUUUAGGUGAACAAAGUUUCUUAGUGUUUGCAUUUUUUUAAAAAAUAAAGAACCAAAAUAAAAUUGAUACUUAACUGAAUUAUUCUAACAACAAGCAAUAUUUAUUCACAAAUUUGUGAGCAGAUUGAAAAAUAUUUCUUUCAUCUCUAAAAAUUCUCCCUCUAUAAUCUAAAUAAUACAUGUUUAUGUGUGUGUGUAUUUGUUCAUGAGACAUAUAUAGAAUGAUCAAAAACAGAUUUAAAAAACAGAUUUACAUGCAUAAAAUAUAUUACUUUAGGACAAAAUUCUGGGGAAGGAAUGAAUAGAGAUAUGAGUUUAAGGAGAAAAAGGGAACAAUGCAAAUUUUUGAAUUGUUUCCUUUUUCUUCGGAUUGGAGAUUGAACCCAGAGGUGCUCUACCACUGACUUACAUCCCCAGUCCUUUUAAAAUUGUUAUUGUGAGACAGGGUCUUGCUAAGUUGCUGAGGCUGGCCUGGAACUUGAGAUGUUUCUGCCUCAGUCUCUUGAGUAGCUGGGAUCAUAGGCGUGUGCCAUUUUUCUGGGUUAAUCGUGUAUAUUUGAAUGAUUGAUAGUGGGCAUAGGUUAUUGUAUUUAGAGUCAAUUGGACAUACUCAAAAAGGUGAUGCAACCAUUUACUGUCAAUAUUUACUAUGAAAAUAGCUUCCUUUUGUAACUAUUUGAACAUGACAUGAAAAAAGUUAAGGUAUCAACUUAGAAUAUGUGGGGAAAGGUACACAGGUUUUCAAAAUUACUUUAGGGAGCAUGUGAACACAUACAUUUCAAGACAACCUGAGUUUAUAACUUUCCCUGGGCCAUACAACCAACAGGAGGCUAAGAUCAGACUGGAAACAUGUCUACACAGGCUCUUCAACCAUACCUGAGGAGUCUAUGGAACUGAGGGUUUUUUUUUUUUAAUCUUUAGUUGUCAAUGGAUCUUUUUGUGAAAUUUUAUUUACCUAUUUAUUUAUAUGCAGGGCUGAGGAUUGAACCCAGUGCCUCACACAUGCCAGGCAAGUGCUCUACCACUGAGCCACAACUCCAGCCCCUAUGGAUGUGAGUUUUAAUAAUCAACUCCAUUCAUCUUAGAAAUAAAUUAUUUGUUUCUGUUAUAUGAGAAAGAUCCUCUGCUUGGGGCCAAUAGGUACACACAAAUGAGUAAAACAUUUUACUUACUUUCAAGUAACUUGAAAAUUUAUAGGAGAGAUAAGCCAUCUUCACAAAAUCUUUACUAUAUGAUUAAAUGUAAUCUUAUAGACAUUUAUGAAAAAUGCUGUGGAAAAGGGGAGAUAUUACUGUUAUCUGGAGUAUCAGAGAAGAGUUUGAACAGGUUCUAAUAUCUGAUGGAUGGGUCUUUGUAAAAUCAAUGAUGGAAGAAGUGGGUAAGAGAAAGUAGGGAGAACUCAUUUACUCAUUCAUCUAUCCAUCCAUCCAUUCAUCCAAGAACUAUUAGUUAAAAAGAGAAUAGACAAAUAUAAUAAAUGGGGCUAUCCUGGUUGGAAUAAAUUAUAUGAAAAUAUUUGUGAGAUAUCCACAAACCUAUGAUCCCAGCUACUCAAGGGAAUUCUGAAUCCUGAGUCCGAUGGUAUUAAGGAACUUCAGUUAACAACUCUUAAGUCUGAUAAUUAUGUUGUGCCUAUGUUUAAAAAAAAAGUAGAAGAAAAUCUUUCUCUUUCAGCAGUAUAUACUGAGGUAUUUCUUAAUGGAAACACAUAGUAUCUUGCAUUUGAUUUAAAGUAGCCCAGUGUGUGUGUGUGCAUUGGAUGGAAUGUGUAGGGUGACUAUUAAAAAAUUGGUCAUGUGUUGAUAAAACUGUGAAAGCUGAGUAUUUGGUGCAUGGAAGUUCAUUACACUAUUUUCUCCAUUUUGUCAUGAUGAUUUUUUUUUUUUUUGGUACCAGGGAUUGAACUCAGGGGCACUCGACCACUGAGCCACACCCCCAGCCCUACUUUGUAUUUUACUUAGAGACAGGGUCUCACUGAGUUGCUUAGCGCCUUGCUGAAUUGCUGAGGCUGGCUUUGAACUCUCGAUCCUCCUGCUUCCACCCCCGGAGGUGCUGGGAUUACAGGUGUGCACCACUGCAUUUGGCUCUGAUGAAAUAUUUUUAAAAGUAAUUAUUAAUUUAAUGCCUACCAUGUUCCAAGAAACUGGAGUCAUAAACAGGAAAGACACAUUAUAUUGUCUGUCCUCAAGAAACCUAUAAUCUGGAGGUGGGGGGGAAUAAACAUAUGAAAUAUCCAAAUACAUCAUGAUUAUCAAGUGCCAUCAGAGCAAUGGGUUCUGCCUGAGCUGCUCAGGGGCAAGUUGGAAGGUUUCAUUAUUUCAGAAGUAGAAUUUAUAGGACUUGGUAGCCUAUUUGUUGUGAAGGAGUCAAAAGUAAUGGAAGUUUUUACUUUGGGCAUCUGAAGGAUGCCAUACCAUUAAUGGAGACAGAAAAUAAAUAGGUCAUGAUGGGGGUAGGUGGUGUGUGGGGCAGUUUAUCUUUGUAUCUCCUGAGGUUAAGCUACCUGUGAAAUACAGAGAUGGUCAGGAAGUCACUGAAACUGUGUUUCCAGGCAGAAGAAACUGCAGUGCCAAAGGUUUCUUGAAGGAAAUAUACAAGAUGUAUUUCAAGAUCCUUCUAGACCCCAGGUUCAUGGACCAUGGGAUCUGAGUAGAAAGAGGCUGGCCAGAGACAUAGAUAUACUCCCUGAGAGUUAUGUUGGAUUCUAUCAUUGGUAUGUUGCAUGAUCAUGAAAUGAACCACGUGUUUGACAGCAUGAGGUCCCUUGUAGAAGGGGAUGCUUGAUGCUCAGGAACAGGGAAAAGAAGAUGAAGGACUCUGUGCCACUUUGAAAAAACAAAUCACUUACCUUUAAGAAGCAGCCUUUUUGGAAGUAUAGUAUACUGACUUGUACUGUGGGCUGUAGAGUUACACUGCUUUGUUUUAAUCCUGACUUCAAAGUUGUUUAACCUCUUUAAGCCUCAGUUUCCUCAUCUGUAACAUGGGGAUAAUAGUAUCUAACAUGAGAGUAAAUAAAAUUAUGUAUGCAAACUGUCUGGUAUGUAAUACAUUUUCAAUAACUUAGAAUUAAUGGUCUUAAUGUUACUUUUUGAAGAGGAGGCAAAGGACUUGAUUGCUUUGUGGGCUGAUAAAUAUUCCAUUAUUUCCUUUCAAAGGUGCUUUAAAUGCUGUUAAGAAUUGAAGACCUUCUCCUCAUGUCUAUUUCCAUGCUCCAAUGGAAACUGAAAUGAUCCUAUUUGAGAUCAUACUGAUUUUAGUCUAUUUUUGCUUUUUUAAUGCUGAAAACAUUAUGAAAAUAUAGCACACAAGCUCUCAGUCUGUGCAACCCCUUUCUUUUCAUCUGUUUUGCUUAUUUGGCAACACAUACCACAAGUACCUUGCAUGCUUUAAAUGAAACAAUGUGUUUCCAUGACCUCCAGAAGUUGCAUCCCAAUCCAAGGAAACCAAGUGUUUAAAGGUACACACAAAUGAGUAAAACAGGACUGUCCUUGUCUUGGACAAUGUGGGAGGUGCGACCUUGUACCUAGUAAAGGAAUGUGACUGUUUACAGAAGGUUAGAAAGAAGUGGGGAAGGUAGAAAGCAGGAAGCAAGGAGCAGAGCAGAGGUAGGGGAGAAGGAAGGAGGGAAGGUAUGGAGGAAGAAAAGAAGGGGAUUUUGGAAGAAUGAACCACAGCUAAUACUGAGUGCUAAAGAAUGGCCAGACCAUUCUUUAUGGUCGUUUCCUUGACAGAGAGUCUUGGGUGCUCCUUGGCCAUUUAUUUUAGGCUGGGCACAGGGCUGGUAUUCAGGGGAGUUAUCUGCAGCACAGCUGAUUGUUCAUUAUCUUCUGUAAUGGUGGGAGGCAUGGAUGGCUCCUCUUUUCCUAGGCAAUGUGUAAUGGGGCUUCUCUUGAUCCCAGAAAGACAGAACUUGAGUGCUUCUAAUGCUCAGAAUGGGAAAAGAGAAGGGCUAAGUCCAGGAUAGAGAAGGGGACUUAUCUCUGGUAAAAGAAGCCACCACCCAGUUUGUGAGCUGUGGGAAGAUAAGAGUCAACAGACCUUAUUAGCUUGAUCUAAACACACUGCUGGCCUACCUUCCACCUCCAUGGUCUUCCUUACAAUUGAGAAAGUCUUUUUCCAGACUGACGGCCAAUCCUCUCCUUGAAUUCAACUCUUAUGCUACCUCUGGACUUGACUCCUUUAGUAAAGUCUUCUCUUUCAUACCUCACCAGCACCUCCCAACUGAUUGUCCAUAAACUGUUUAUAAACAGACUUCCAUUUUUGAAAUUCAAAAGAGAGAAGGGAAACAUCCCCUAAUCCCUACUAAACCUUUAGUUCUACUCUAUUUCUGUUCCACUUUACAGUGAAAGGUUUCAAAACCGUUGCUUCCCUUAUACUGUCUCUACUUCAACUCCAAUUUCCUCUUCAGCUCUAUUCUAUCAAACACUUCCACUUACCUCCACUGGCACCAACUUGAUCUGAACCAUUGUCAGUUUUCAUUAAGAUUAUUGGAAAGAUUCCUAGCUAGUUUCCUGGUUAUGGUUCCUCUGAACCAUUCUUCACACAGUAGUCAAGGAGGACUUCAAAAGAUAAAUCUGAUCUAGAAUACUACUCAGUAAUAAAAACAUGAACUAUGGAUACAUGCAACAAUUUGGGUGAAAUUCAAGGGAAUCAAGCUGAGUGGAUAUGUGCAAUAUUAAAAUGUGUACAGCUGGCCCUCCAUUAUGGUGGGUUCUGAAUCUGCAGAAAAGUAAUUGUGUCUGUACUGAACAUCUAUGGACUUUGCCAUUAUUCUUUGUACAAUAAACUAUAACAACCAUAGUAUCAUUUACAUUAUAUUAGGUAUUAUAAGGAAUUUAGGGAUGAUUUAAAGUGGAUGGGAGGAUGUGCAUAGGUUAUGUGCAAAUACUAUGACAUUUUAUAUAAGUGACUUGAGCAUCUGUGGAUUUUUGUAUCCAAAGGGGAUCCUUGAACUAAUCCCCUGUGGCUGCUGAGGGAUGACUAUACAGUAUUAUUAUUCAUUAACAUAACAUUCUUCUUUUUUUUUUUUGCAGUGCUGGGAACCCAGGAGGACUCUACUAUUGAGUUACAUCCCCAAACCUUACAUUUUUUUGUUUGUUUGUAAAUUCUGAGACUGGGUCUCACUAAGUUGCUGAGACUGGCCCUGAACUUUUGAUCCUCCUGCCUUAGCCUUCUGAGUAACUGGGGUUACAAGAGUGCACCACCACACCUGGUUUACAUAACAGCCUUGGAAUAUCAGAAUUACAGAACUGGUGAAGAGAUUAGUGGUUGAUAUUGGUAAAGGACUCCCAGGAAACUGGGGUGAUGCUGUGGCUAUAAAAGGGCAAUUGAAGGGAUCUUUGUAAAAUGGAGC